GGAUAAUCUACCCUUAGGACCGGGAUAACCCUGGGAAACUGGGGAUAAUACUGGAUAGGCAAUUAUUCCUGUAAUGGUUUUUUGUUUAAAUGUUUUUUCGCCUAAGGAUGAGUCUGCGGCCGAUUAGGUAGUUGGUUAGGUAAUGGCUUACCAAGCCGUUGAUCGGUACGGGUUGUGAGAGCAAGAGCCCGGAGAUGGAACCUGAGACAAGGUUCCAGGCCCUACGGGGUGCAGCAGGCGCGAAACCUCCGCAAUGUGAGAAAUCGCGACGGGGGGAUCCCAAGUGCCAUUCUUAACGGGAUGGCUUUUCAUUAGUGUAAAGAGCUUUUGGAAUAAGAGCUGGGCAAGACCGGUGCCAGCCGCCGCGGUAACACCGGCAGCUCUAGUGGUAACAAUUUUUAUUGGGCCUAAAGCGUCCGUAGCCGGUUUAAUAAGUCUCUGGUGAAAUCCUGCAGCUUAACUGUGGGAAUUGCUGGAGAUACUAUUAGACUUGAGACCGGGAGAGGUUAGAGGUACUCCCAGGGUAGAGGUGAAAUUCUGUAAUCCUGGGAGGACCGCCUGUUGCGAAGGCGUCUAACUGGAACGGUUCUGACGGUGAGGGACGAAAGUUAGGGGCGCGAACCGGAUUAGAUACCCGGGUAGUCCUAACUGUAAACGAUGCGGACUUGGUGUUGGGGUGGCUUUGAGCUGCUCCAGUGCCGAAAGGGAAGCUGUUAAGUCCGCCGCCU
rnacentral:rRNA from 1 species